rnacentral:rRNA from 1 species
UACGUAGGGAGCAAGCGUUGUCCGGAAUCAUUGGGCGUAAAGCGCGCGUAGGUGGCUUCAUAAGUCCGUUGUGAAAGUCAAAGGCUCAACCUUUAAAAGCCGAUGGAUACUGUGAAGCUAGAGUACGGAAGAGGCGAGUGGAAUUCCUGGUGUAGCGGUGGAAUGCGCAGAUAUCAGGAGGAACACCAAUAGCGAAGGCAGCUCGCUGGGACGUUACUGACACUGAGGCGCGAAAGCGUGGGGAGCGAACAGG